rnacentral:rRNA from 1 species
GAUGAACGCUAGCGGCAGGCCUAAUACAUGCAAGUCGAGGGGCAACAGGGAUAGCAAUAUUCGCUGGCGACCGGCGCACGGGUGCGUAACACGUAUACAAUCUGCCUUUAACAGGGGGAUAGCCCGGAGAAAUCCGGAUUAAUACCCCAUAACAUCUGAUCAGGCAUCUGGUUGGAUUGAAAGCUACGGCGGUUAGAGAUGAGUAUGCGUCUGAUUAGCUAGUUGGUGAGGUAACGGCUCACCAAGGCGACGAUCAGUAGGGGAUCUGAG